CCAGAGACGCUAAUUAGUAUGAUCUAAGCUGGAUGCGUGCAAAGUUUGCACUUUCGGAGGGUGGAUCAAGCUGUCGAAGGUCUGAAAGAAAACAUAUAAAAGUCACUGCCACAGAAGGUCUUCUUAACAGUGUCAUUCACCAACUCUUGUCUCCGGAAUAUCUGCUCUUCCUACUCUAGAUUUUUUCUCGACUGGAAAGUCAUCUAUCAACAUCAGAGUGAUGGAAGUGAUCCCAUCAGGGAGAAUAUAUGUGCCCUUAAAAUUUACAAUUCAUGAGGAUUAUCGCUAUCCCACUGGACCAUACCUGAAUCCUCUCCUGUCUGGUCGAGUCCCCAUAUCAAUUUUGGAAGUUGGCACAUCCCCAUUUCUCCUGAGCAACAAACCGGAGCAGAGAUAUGGAGGGUCCUCAGGUUUUAGCUUUCCUCAACUUUGGUCUGAAAUUCAUUUGCCACCACUGAUGCAACCAUGCUCAUUUCUUUACAAUCCCGGAACAAGAUCACCCCUUCAUUGAAUGGGAACAUGAUCAUCACAGGAAUGGAACAGAACGGUACCCGAAUUGCACAAAAUAGAUUCACAGGUGAUGAUUGUAUGGGUUUUGGUGCCAGAAAUGUUGAGCCUCUCCAUCCAGAUAAACAAGAGCAGACUGGAUCAUCACAUCUGUCACUCAUACCUACACCUGCCUGCUCAAAGCACCUCUCAGGUUUCCCUCCAACUCUCUUAGAUAUGGAGUUUUUUGCUUCCUUUCUUUCAAGCCAACCUGAAGGCAUUCUGACCAAAAUUCAAGGGAUCCCAAAUUCACUGCUCAUUCUUUGAUGUAUCUCUGAAUAUUCCUCAGGUCUGCAAGAUUUAUGAUGCUUCCAUUUUCCUGAGAAGCUGUCAUUCUCUGUGUACUUAUGCCUUGUCUCAUUUUACUCCUCAUUCAUCUGUCAUUUCACUCUUCUGCACAAAAUGUAUUGUUCACCUUUCUGAAGCUGCUCAACAUGGAAAGGCUUCCCUGCACUCCUCUUUCCCCUACAAUAAACCUCAUCUAUCUGCAUCAAAACGA